rnacentral:rRNA from 1 species
UAUCCUGGCUCAGGAUGAACGCUAGCGGCAGGCUUAACACAUGCAAGUCGAGGGGUAGAAGUCUUCGGACUUUGAGACCGGCGCACGGGUGCGUAACGCGUAUGCAAUCUGCCUUUCACAGAGGGAUAGCCCAGAGAAAUUUGGAUUAAUACCUCAUAGUAUUAUGGAGUGGCAUCACUUUAUAAUUAAAGUCACAACGGUGAAAGAUGAGCAUGCGUCCCAUUAGCUGGUUGGUAAGGUAACGGCUUACCAAGGCUACGAUGGGUAGGGGUCCUGAGAGGGAGAUCCCCCACACUGGUACUGAGACACGGACCAGACUCCUACGGGAGGCAGCAGUGAGGAAUAUUGGUCAAUGGACGCAAGUCUGAACCAGCCAUGCCGCGUGCAGGAUGACGGUCCUAUGGAUUGUAAACUGCUUUUGUACGAGAAGAAACACUCCUAUGUAUAGGAGCUUGACGGUAUCGUAAGAAUAAGGAUCGGCUAACUCCGUG